GUCCCUGUAGCGCAAUAAAUAGCGCAUUGGACUUCUAAUCCGAAGUUCGUAUUUUCGAAUUCAACCUGGGAUG